rnacentral:rRNA from 1 species
AUUGAACGCUGGCGGCAUGCUUUACACAUGCAAGUCGAACGGCAGCGCGGGCUUCGGCCUGGCGGCGAGUGGCGAACGGGUGAGUAAUAUAUCGGAACGUACCCAAGAGUGGGGGAUAACGUAGCGAAAGUUACGCUAAUAACGCAUACGAUCUAAGGAUGAAAGCAGGGGAUCGCAAGACCUUGUGCUCCUGGAGCGGCCGAUAUCUGAUUAGCUAGUUGGUGAGGUAAAGGCUCACCAAGGCAACGAUCAGUAGCUGGUCUGAGAGGACGACCAGCCAAACUGGAACUGAGACACGGUCCAGACUCCUACGGGAGGCAGCAGUGGGGAAUUUUGGACAAUGGGGGCAACCCUGAUCCAGCAAUGCCGCGUGAGUGAAGAAGGCCUUCGGGUUGUAAAGCUCUUUUGUCAGGGAAGAAAAGGCUGUGGCUAAUAUCCACAGCUGCUGACGGUACCUGAAGAAUAAGCACCGGCUAACUACGUGCCAGCAGCCGCGGUAACAC